rnacentral:lncRNA from 10 species
GGGUGUCACUCUCUUCAGCCGCCAUAAUGAAGAAUGUGUGCAUGCAUUUGAGAGAGUGAAAGAACCAGAGACUACAGAGGUCACAGAACAGUUUAUAACCUUGUAGUAUCUGACAUUUCCUGAUACUUGGUGCUAGUAGAUCAAAAUUUACCCAACUCUCAGAAAGAAGAGUCUAUGUCCCUGUACACAGAAUCUGGCUUGACUUUGCGACUUGCUUUCACCAAUCAAAUGCAGAAGAAGUGAAGUCUGGUCCUCAGGAGGUUUUGUACUCCUCUGCUGACUCUCCUGGGAUGCUAAAAACGCCAUGAGUCCUAGUUACGACUAACUUACAUGGCCUAGUCACCUCCAUUGUCCAAGCCAAUAGGUACCCAGCCAUCACACCUAGAGUGAGGCCAUUCCAAUCUCCAGCUGAUCUGCUGUGGAUGAGCAUGGCCAAGAUCAACUGAGCUUGGCUCAGAUGAGCAAGACUCCCUGGAUAACCUACAAUCUUAAUGUGGGAGAAGUGAUGAUGUGCCUAUUCUAAGUCUAGGCCUCAAGAAGUCUUGAAAGAUUCUGUUCCCUCUUGGUUAGUCCACUGGAGGAUGAGAGACCCACGGCCCAAUAACCUCCAUUGCCUCGGCCAACAGACAGUCAACUUCCAGUCUCACCAUUGCCUAGACUACCACAGGGACCACAGACACAUAACGGUGCCCAGCCAAGACAAGAAGAAACAUCCAGCUGAGUCCAGCCUAAAUUGCUGAUCUGCAGAAUUGAAAACUUGGGAGGAAGACAUACUAUACCACAUGGUCCUUUCCUUUUUCUGUGGAUGGCAAAAAGAUGCAUCACUUCCCGGAGCUUAUGAUAGAAGAUGCUCCUUCGCCAGUGUGAGACACUUAAAAGGACAAUGAUUUGUGCAGGGAACUAACCCUGUGUGCUACGUGUCCUUUUGCUCCAUUUUACUGAUGUGACAAUUGGAGCAGAAUAGUUUAUGUGGCAAAUUUUCCCAGCAUUUAUUUGCACUGCUUACUACAUUCACAUUCUAGUUUACAAAUCUUGACAAAGACAACUGAAUAGGUGUUUUGCAUGAAUGUACUUAUUUUGUAUUGAAGUAUGACACACAUGCAGAGAAGUGACAUUGUCAUAAGCAAAUGGCUUGAUGGCUUUUACAAACUGAAUGUAUGUAUAACCAACAUCGAGAACUAGAAGCAGCUUUUUCAGCCCCUCCUUCCUGAAACUUUUCCUCUCCUUCCACCUUGACCAAGUGUAAUCUCUCUCCUGACCUCUGGCAGAAUAGGUUAGUUUUGCUUAUUUUUAUUUUUAUAUGAGGUGAAUCUCUAGUGUCUGGGUUCUUUUCCUGAAAGCUGUGUUUAUGGAAUUCAUCCAUAUCAUUGUAUGUGGUUAUAGAUUCUCAUUGCUGUGUAGUAGUUCAAUGGCAUGAAUAUACACUAAUCAUUUAUCCGUUCCACUGUUGAUGUGCAAUUGGAGAAUUUCCAAUUUAGAGCUAUUAUGAAUAAUGCUGCUAGAGCCAUUCUAAUGCAUAUCUUCCAGUGAACACAUAUACGCAGUUCUCUUGGGAAUAUUCCUAAGUGUGGAAUUGCUGGGUCGUAGAUGUACAUUUUUAAAAAUCAUAAUAUUAGAGUCGAGUAUGCAGAAUUGACUGAAUUCUAAAACCAAAAGCUAAUUUUUUGAAGUGUGAAUUUCUGUUUGGGGAAAGUGAAUAAUGUGAAGAAACAUAACAUUUUUAUUUAUGGAAAUAAAUUUCAUGUCCUCUGAGCUAACAUCGCCCGUUCUUACGUCUGAAUGGCAGGAUGUUGAGUGUGCUGACGCGGUCAUUUUCUGCGGGGCUGCUCCCAGCUUAGCAUUCUUGCCACAUAAACUCUUCUAGCCCAAACCUUGAAAUACUGCAGGAAGUGGCAUCAGCCCUUUUGUGUUCUUUUCCGGCACCAGGUUGCUCAUCUCUCCCUGUGCCCAUUUGAGGUAAUAUACUGACAGUUGUCAAGAUGAGUCAUGGCUCUUUCUCAGACACACAGGGAGACCAAGUUUGUGACUAAUCGACAAAUCCUCUGGACACAGGCUGAGCCACCAAGAGCCACCCUCGUCCCGGCAAGUUCAGGCCUGGGCUGCAACCUCUGACAGCCAGAGGGGAAAGCAAACAUUGGCAGAACAGUUCUGUUUAUUUGCUUCUCUGAUUUUGAAGACAUGCAGCUUUCUCUCACUCUUCUCCAUUUCCUCUAAAAAAUUUUAUUAAUCUUAGCUUAUUUAUGGCCUUUAGCGUUUGUCUGCCUGUUCAUGCAUGUGCUCAGAAU